rnacentral:rRNA from 1 species
GCAACGAGCGCAACCCUCGCCUCUAGUUGCCAGCAUUCGGUUGGGCACUCUAGAGGGACUGCCGGCGACAAGUCGGAGGAAGUGGGGAUGACGUCAAAUCAUCAUGCCCCUUAUGACCUGGGCUACACACGUGCUACAAUGGGCGGUACAAAGGGCUGCGAACCCGCGAGGGGGAGCGAAUCCCAAAAAGCCGCUCUCAGUUCGGAUUGCAGGCUGCAACUCGACUGCGUGAAGUCGGAAUCGCUAGUAAUCGUGAAUCAGAAUGUCACGGUGAAUACGUUCCCGGGCCUU